rnacentral:RNase_MRP_RNA from 1 species
CGCUGCGGGGAAAGUCCCCGUGCCUUGAGGCAGAGAGUGUCAGCGGGAGACCGCAGGGCGUUGGCUUGCUU